rnacentral:rRNA from 1 species
UACGGGGGGGGCAAGCGUUGUUCGGAAUUACUGGGCGUAAAGGGCUUGUAGGUGGCCAACUAAGUCAAACGUGAAAUCCCUCAGCUUAACUGGGGAACUGCGUCUGAUACUGGAUGGCUUGAGUUUGGGAGAGGGAUGCGGAAUUCCAGGUGUAGCGGUGAAAUGCGUAGAUAUCUGGAGGAACACCGGUGGCGAAGGCGGCAUCCUGGAUCAAUACUGACACUGAAAAGCGAAAGCCAGGGGAGCAAACGGG